rnacentral:misc_RNA from 1 species
GAUGAAGAACGUAGCGAAAUGCGAUAAGUAAUGUGAAUUGCAGAAUUCAGUGAAUCAUCGAAUCUUUGAACGCACAUUGCGCCCGCCAGUAUUCUGGCGGGCAUGCCUGUCUGAGCGUCAUUUCAACCCUCAUGCCCCUAGGGCGUGGUGUUGGGGAUCGGCCAAAGCCCGCGAGGGACGGCCGGCCCCUAAAUCUAGUGGCGGACCCGUCGUGGCCUCCUCUGCGAAGUAGUGAUAUUCCGCAUCGGAGAGCGAUGAGCCCCUGCCGUUAAACCCCCAACUUUCCAAGGAUGACCUCAGAUCAGGUAGGAAUACCCGCUGAACUUAAGCAUAUCAAUAAGCGGAGGA